UACGUAGGGUGCAAGCGUUAAUCGGAAUCACUGGGCGUAAAGCGCACGUAGGCGGUCUUUUAAGUCAGGGGUGAAAUCCUGGAGCUCAACUCCAGAACUGCCUUUGAUACAGCAUAUCUUGAGUCCGAUAGAGGUGGGUGGAAUUCCUAGUGUAGAGGUGAAAUUCGUAGAUAUUAGGAAGAACACCGGUGGCGAAGGCGGCCCACUGGAUCGGUACUGACGCUGAGGUGCGAAAGCGUGGGGAGCAAACAGG
rnacentral:rRNA from 1 species